ACGCACGCUGGCGGCGUGCUUAACACAUGCAAGUCGAACGGAAAGGCCCUGCUUUUGUGGGGUGCUCGAGUGGCGAACGGGUGAGUAACACGUGAGUAACCUGCCCUUGACUUUGGGAUAACUUCAGGAAACUGGGGCUAAUACCGGAUAGGAGCUCCUGCUGCAUGGUGGGGGUUGGAAAGUUUCGGCGGUUGGGGAUGGACUCGCAGCUUAUCAGCUUGUUGGUGGGGUAGUGGCUUACCAAGGCUUUGACGGGUAGCCGGCCUGAGAGGGUGACCGGCCACAUUGGGACUGAGAUACGGCCCAGACUCCUACGGGAGGCAGCAGUGGGGAAUAUUGCACAAUGGGCGGAAGCCUGAUGCAGCAACGCCGCGUGCGGGAUGACGGCCUUCGGGUUGUAAACCGCUUUCGCCUGUGACGAAGCGUGAGUGACGGUAAUGGGUAAAGAAGCACCGGCUAACUACGUG
rnacentral:rRNA from 1 species